AUACGUAGGUGGCAAGCGUUGUCCGGAAUUAUUGGGCGUAAAGCGCAUGUAGGCGGUUUGGUAAGUCGGUCGUGAAAAUGCGGUGCUCAACGCCGUAUGGCGAUUGAAACUGCUGAACUUGAGUGCAGGAGAGGAAAGGGGAACUCCCAGUGUAGCGGUGAAAUGCGUAGAUAUUGGGAAGAACACCGGUGGCGAAGGCGCCUUUCUGGACUGUGUCUGACGCUCCGAUUCGAAAGCCAGGGUAGCGAACGGGAUUAGAUACCCCGGUAGUCCUGGCCGUAAACGAUGGGUACUAGGUGUGGGAGGUAUCGACUCCUUCCGUGCCGGAGUUAACGCAAUAAGUACCCCGCCUGGGGAGUACGGCCGCAAGGCUUAAACUCAAAGGAAUUGACGGGG
rnacentral:rRNA from 1 species